rnacentral:rRNA from 1 species
CCUACGGGUGGCAGCAGUGAGGAAUAUUGGUCAAUGGCCGGGAGGCUGAACCAGCCAAGUCGCGUGAGGGAAGACGGCCCUACGGGUUGUAAACCUCUUUUGUCAGGGAGCAAGGUGCAGGUCGGGACCUGCUGUGAGAGUACCUGAAGAAAAAGCAUCGGCUAACUCCGUGCCAGCAGCCGCGGUAAUACGGAGGAUGCGAGCGUUAUCCGGAUUUAUUGGGUUUAAAGGGUGCGCAGGCGGAGGCACAAGUCAGCGGUAAAAUCGGGGGGCUCAACCCCGCUGCGCCGUUGAAACUGGGUGCCUUGAGUGCGCGAAGGGUAGGCGGAAUGCGUGGUGUAGCGGUGAAAUGCUUAGAUAUCACGAAGAACUCCGAUCGCGAAGGCAGCCUACCGGCGCACAACUGACGCUCAUGCACGAAAGCGUGGGUAUCGAACAGGAUUAGAUACCCUAGUAGUC